rnacentral:rRNA from 1 species
GACGAACGCUGGCGGCGUGCUUAACACAUGCAAGUCGAACGAUGAUGCUGGAGCUUGCUCCAGUUGAUUAGUGGCGAACGGGUGAGUAACACGUGAGCAAUCUGCCCUUGACUCUGGGAUAACUGCGGGAAACUGUAGCUAAUACCGGAUACUUUCACCGGAAGGCAUCUUCUGGUGAUGAAAGAAUUUCGGUCAGGGAUGAGCUCGCGGCCUAUCAGCUUGUUGGUGAGGUAACGGCUCACCAAGGCGACGACGGGUAGCCGGCCUGAGAGGGUGACCGGCCACACUGGGACUGAGACACGGCCCAGACUCCGACGGGAGGCAGCAGUGGGGAAUAUUGCACAAUGGGCGCGAGCCUGAUGCAGCAACGCCGCGUGAGGGAUGAAGGCCUUCGGGUUGUAAACCUCUUUUAGCAGGGAAGAAGCGAAAGUGACGGUACCUGCAGAAAAAGCACCGGCUAACUACGUGCCAGCCGCCGCAGUAA